UGUGUCCUCGGGUUGUCCUGUGUGGCUGGUAUAUGCUUUUGUGUCUCUGCACUAAAUAAAAGCGCAUUUCACUGGCUGGCCUCGAGGGCAGCCGGGCUCGGAGCCAGCGCUCAUUCAAUCAGGAAGAAAAGCCCUCGGUGCCAACAGACUGGAUGGGAGCGGGCCGUUUGUGAGCAGAGAGAGCCAACGGGAAAACAGAAACAGCAGACGUCUGUCUCGGGCAGAUUCGGCCAGCUGGAUCAAUGAGUCUGAAGAAACAGAGCCUGAAGUCGGGCAGGAGCAGCCGCUGCGCACCGUGUAAGGGCAGCGAGCGCUGCCCUGGGGGCCCCGCGGGAGGAGCCUCCUCCGCCCGGCGUGGGCAGUGCAGUCACCCUGGGGUGGGGAGGCUGGUGAUGCUGUGCCGAGUCUGGUGCCCGCGGUCAUGAGGGGUCAGACGACGGGUCCGCCUGGGAAACCUGGGGGCCCCGCAGCAGAAUGUGAUCAGGUCGUGCCCUGCUGUCCUGAGCGAGGCUUCCUGCUUGGAGUGGCGCCGUGAGGCGAGAGGCGGCUCAGUCACAACUCUGCCGGAGGCCCUUCCUGCCCACAUUUCGGAGGGCAAACCUGAGCGUCUGUGUCUGCCUCGUGGGACUGCAGGGCGAAGGCAGCUCCCUGCGGGGUCAGGAAAAGAUGGAGAUGAACUUGGAACAGAGAUGCAUACAGAUUCUUCUCCCACUGUGUUCCGUUCAAGGUGUUUCUCCAAACGUGAGCCGAGAGCCUGGGCGUGAAGGAGAGAGGAGAGACCUCAAGGGCCAGGCUGGAUGAGCUGUGAUGGGUCUGGCAGCAUGCGUCCUCCGGGACCGGGGCCCCAGAGGCUCCUGCCGCUGCGUGAGGAUGCUCAGGGACGCGGCCGGCCGAGGUGUGCUGAGUCUGGGGCUCUGGCUCUCCUGGCCCCUUCGUGCUGCGUCUGUCACGAGGAGCCCCAGGUCCUUCACAGUCUCCCAUGGGACAGAGGUCGAGCCAGAAUACCGGGAUAAAGCCGUAAUUUCCCCGUGUUUACCGUCUUCAGCUCGGCGGGGGAGGGGCUGUCCUCUCAGCAACCCCAGGGGUUCGGAGUGAGUCCGGCAUCGCUCUCCUCUCACCACCCUCCACAUGCUCAUUUUGUUUUUUUAAUUGAAGUGAGUUUCAUAGAACCAGACAUUUUAAAAAUUACACUCCAGCAGCAUCCAGAACGUUCACAAUACUGAUAAACCAUCACUGCUGCCUCAGUCCAGAGCAUUUUCAUCACCCCACCCCACCCACAGCCCAUGGCGACCGAGGGUCCACCUCCUCUCCGACUCUGAAUUUACUGAUUCUGACUCAUCAGUACAAGCGAAACCACACGACACACGACCGUUUUUCUGCCCAGAAUGGCGUUUUGGAGGUCCGUCCACGGCGGACCGUCCGUCAGCACAUCGCUGCGCAUCCCCUGCUUCCCACCGCGCUGUGGCUGCUGCCGUUUUCUACCUGCCGUCUGUUCGGUGCGGACUGGUGUCUCGUUGCGUAGGAUUCGCAGUGUCCCAGCGACUCGUGACGCUGAGAACCUCCUCACAUGUGUGUUGACCACUGUGCUGGAUUAGGUUCUCCAGCUCCUGUGGACGCCACGUGCUUCCAGGACCCUAAACGACCAGACGAUACUCUCAGAAAGCACAGCCCAUCCGGGGGUGACGUGAACGCCGCUGCACGGGGAGCAGGGCAGGAAGAAGCAGAAACAGUACAGAGUCGUCAACUCAGAAAUUCAGCUCUGAUCCGGGAACAUCCCGAUUUGAGAGCAGAGCUUCAGUAGAACUGAUGAAUUAUAAAUCCUCUCCUCCCCAAGCUGCUUACACAAAACCGAUCCACACAGUGCUCAUUCACCACUUUAUUUAAUACUUUCAUUUCUAUUUUUGGGGAGGGGGGAGUGUCCAUGCUCCGGGGCCUGUGGGUUGAGCUAAUUAGCACCUAGGGCAGGUGGGGGUGGGGGCGGGGAGGAACUGGUCUGCUUUGUGAUGUUUAUGCAGCAAAGAAUGUCAGGGGAAAAAAGCUUCUUUAUGUAACUUAAUGGGGGACUCUCCAUGUUAGCUACAGGAUUUCACCAAGACUUCAAAUAAAUUAAAUGAAAUUUC